AGGAGGAACAACCACAGUGGCAGCGGCCAGCUCUGGAGCCCUGGUGUCAGCUUCUGCAGUAACUACGGAGCUCUUCGUCUGCAGGGACCUGGAGGCUCCAGGGGCAG
rnacentral:pre_miRNA from 1 species